rfam:Equus caballus chromosome 3, whole genome shotgun sequence.
GACUCAGAAUCCAUUUCUAGAAGAGGUAAUACUGAGGCCAUUGACAGGGACUGCCUCUGCCCCUCAGCCUCCUCCCCGGGCGUAGGUCCCCAUUCUGAGACUCCCAUUCAGC